AUCCAGCCAUGCCGCGUGUGUGAAGAAGGUCUUCGGAUUGUAAAGCACUUUAAGUUGGGAGGAAGGGUUGUAGAUUAAUACUCUGCAAUUUUGACGUUACCGACAGAAUAAGCACCGGCUAACUUCGUGCCAGCAGCCGCGGUAAUACGUAGGUGGCAAGCGUUGUCCGGAUUUACUGGGCGUAAAGGAUGCGUAGGCGGAUAUUUAAGUGAGAUGUGAAAUACCCGGGCUCAACUUGGGUGCUGCAUUUCAAACUGGAUAUCUAGAGUGCAGGAGAGGAAAGUGGAAUUCCUAGUGUAGCGGUGAAAUGCGUAGAGAUUAGGAAGAACAUCAGUGGCGAAGGCGACUUUCUGGACUGUAACUGACGCUGAGGCAUGAAAGCGUGGGGAGCAAACA
rnacentral:rRNA from 1 species